AGUUUGAUACCAAAUAUAACUAUUUGAUCUAUUUUUUAAUAAUUCGUCUGGCUCUAAAAUACUGGCCUAAAAUAAUAAGCUCGAUUACUGAAAAUAUGAUCUAUAGUUCACAUUUUUUUAUUCAGAAUUUUUUUUCCGUCCAACGUGGAACUAUUUUAUUGCAGUAUUACAUAUCUCAUAUCAUGAACUUUUCAAGCAUCUAUUCUUACCAUUUGGUUUGGGUAUAAGUAAGAAUUAGCUAUUACAGGGAUAUGUACAAGUAUGGGGAUAAGAAAAAUAGCGUUUGGUUGAAAAUUGGGUUGCUCCCGGAGAUAAAAAAAAAUAGCAUUUGGAUAGAUAAUAUGGAAUAAGAAAAAUAUUAGAUAGUUUUAUAUAAAAAAUGAUGGUGAUGGUGAUGGUGGGGAUAGUUAUAACCGGUAAUUACAAAUAACCGAGAACUACUAUUCUCGGAUAAAAAAUUAGCGUUUGGGUAUAAAGAGGAUAAGGGCCUAUCCCUAUCCCUAUCCCCUAACCAAAUACUGUCUGAAUUUUUGUCUUUCCUUGUUCAAAAUAAUCUAUAUUUAUGCAUACAACUCUUAAAAUUAUAUUUUUGUAUACAUAUCCAUUAAAAUAAGAUGGUUGGUAUCUGAGAUUGAGGUUUUAAAUUCGAAUCCUAAUAUUUUUUUGAUCUUUCUGUUCAAAUUUAUUUUAAAAAAUAAACGAAAUG
rnacentral:lncRNA from 1 species